GGCCGGUUGGAGUAGCUGGUUAUCUCGCAUCGUUAACAUGUUACUUGUUCCAUACAAGUAUUAAUUACCGAUGAGGUCGCCGGAUCGAGCCCGGCACUGGUCA